UUUAUUGGAGAGUUUGAUCCUGGCUCAGGACGAACGCUGGCGGCGUGCCUAAUACAUGCAAGUCGAGCGAGGGUUUUCGAACCCUAGCGGCGGACGGGUGAGUAACACGUAGGCAACCUGCCUCUCAGACCGGGAUAACAUAGGGAAACUUAUGCUAAUACCGGAUAGGUUUUUGGAUCGCAUGAUCUGAAAAGGAAAGAUGGCGUUUGCUAUCACUGGGAGAUGGGCCUGCGGCGCAUUAGCUAGUUGGUGGGGUAACGGCCUACCAAGGCGACGAUGCGUAGCCGACCUGAGAGGGUGACCGGCCACACUGGGACUGAGACACGGCCCAGACUCCUACGGGAGGCAGCAGUAGGGAAUUUUCCACAAUGGACGAAAGUCUGAUGGAGCAACGCCGCGUGAACAAUGAAGGUCUUCGGAU
rnacentral:rRNA from 1 species